CAAGUUCUCGACAAGUACUUUUCAAGCUUUUCAAACAUGUUCACAAUUGAAAAACUUUUGUAAACAAAAUUUUGUCUGGAGCCUAUUUGUGAAGUUCAUACACAUGGAAACUCUCCAGAAAAAGUAGGCAGAAAGACGUUUUGCAAGCUUGGUCCAUGCUCAUCCCCAGAUCUGGCCCACUCCAGAUCCUCGUCCUGAGGAACCUCUGCAGAUCUUAGUUUCCUUAUACCAGCUCCAUCAGUUGAAUCAAAAUUACAGUGCUGUGAGGACCAAGGUGAUGAAGAUUCUGCAGCCCCUUUUUAAACCGUAAAGUACUGUGACCAUUUUCUCUGCCAAGAUCAUCUUUGGAGAGCAAACACAGGAAGCAAGGAUUGACUGACCAGAAUUAAUCUGUGAUCUUGACCCUCUUUAAGAGUGGGAGUUUCCAAAACUGCAAUGUGAUUAUGAGUCAAAAAAGUGCUUAAGUUUAAAUGCUUCUUUUCACAUAUUCGCCAUUACCAUUUGUUCUCCAUAAAGGCAAAGUAGAUGAGGCGUGCCCAAGAGAAGAGGGCCGUGAGCUCAGAAGAACUUGUUUAUUCUUUGAAAAGUAUACCUUGAACAUGUUGACACAGUUUAAACACCAACUCCUCACUGUAAUAGAGGAAAUAAA